ensembl:lncRNA
GUCGCUCUGGCUUCCUAUUGGUGGGGGACCCUGCCCGAGCCUGCCAGUCCAAUGGAGGCUGGACCCCCAAACCCUCCUGUCUCAGGGUGUGUCAUCAGGGCCGCGUGGAGAUCACUGAGAAGGAGCUAGAAACAGCUACCUGCUCCUCCACCUGUCCCCUUAAGUCCUACAUGGGGCCUCUUAAGCAGGGCUGCUACGGCAUCGACAACUGCAGGAAGAUGAAUCCUGACUGGAAGCGCUGGUUCACCCGCUGUGACACGUGCCUGUGUGAUUGCCACAUCGCCUGUGUCAUGGUCUGGGUCCUCCAGUCUCCUCAUGGGCCCCAAUAGUACUCCCCCUUCCACCACCGAGCUGGAGUAGACCUGACCAACCAAUUCUCCAUUGGACAAGCUCACUCUCACACAGACAGCCUGAUAGGCACUGCCACCCUCA